AGCGUCUCUGCUGCAGAAGCUGCUGCUUGUAGAGGUUUCUGUGUGCUUUGACAGGGUUUGCAGGGUUGUGUAUCUGCAUGGAGGUUUGCAGCACAGGAACAGGAGAACUUCCUCUCACCUUUCCUCUUCAUCCUGCAGCAGUGGUGGAAGCAGAGGAUGUUCUUGAUGAAUGAAGGUGAAACCAAACAUCUGAUCUGAUCCAGCAUCACAUGAGACACUCUGAAGGAAAUGUUUCUGCUCUUUAGACGACAAAACUCACAAUUUAUUGUUAGAAUGAAAAGAAAACUUUCCACAUUUUUCUGGAAUCAAGUUGUUUUAUUGAAGAAAUCCAAAGAGACAGAACAGCAGACAUAUAUUUUUCUGAUCUAAAUCUAAAGGAUUCAGAAGAAAACAGCAUCAGUUCUAAGUUGAUGUUAGUUUCAGUUUUCUUCUUUGGAUCACAAUAAAGAAACCAGAAGAUCCAAAUACAUCAAUACAAAUAUGAAACCAGAACCAUUAGAGCCCAGAGAAGUUUAGAUUUUCAUGUGGAGAAAUAUUUCUGUGUCAAAUAAGAAUGAAAGAAAACAUCAGCAGUGAAAUCCUUUCUGGUUCCUGGAACACAGACACAGAGAACUACAUUUAAACAAGAACAAUGAAGAA